UCAAGUAUUACUAAAGAAGUUAGGUCAAGGUGUAGCCCAUGGAGUGGAGCGAAAUGGGCUACAUUUUCUAUUACUAGAACAUUACGAAACUCUACGUGAAAUCCGUAGAAUAAAGGAGGAUUUAGUAGUAAAUUAAAACUAGAGUGUUUAAUUGAAUAGAGCAAUGAAGCACGCACACACCGCCCGUCACCCUCCUCAAUUUCUCAACAAUUAAAAGUACAUAACACCUAAUUACAAAAGAUUGAGAGGAGACAAGUCGUAACAAGGUAAGUGUACUGGAAAGUGCACUUGGAAAAAUCAAAAU
rnacentral:ncRNA from 1 species